rnacentral:misc_RNA from 1 species
GAUGAAGAACGUAGCGAAAUGCGAUAAGUAGUGUGAAUUGCAGAAUUCAGUGAAUCAUCGAAUCUUUGAACGCACAUUGCGCCCCUUGGUAUUCCAUGGGGCAUGCCUGUUCGAGCGUCAUUUGUACCCUCAAGCUUUGCUUGGUGUUGGGUGUUUGUCCCGCGUUGCGCGUGGACUCGCCUUAAAGCGAUUGGCAGCCGGCAUAUUGGCCUUGGAGCGCAGCACAUUUUGCGCUUCUAGUCAUGAAUGUUGGCGUCCAUUAAGCCUAUACAUUUGCUCUUGACCUCGGAUCAGGUAGGGAUACCCGCUGAACUUAAGCAUAUCAAUAAGGGGAGGA